GAGAAUAGGAACAAUAAGGAAAUCACUUCGGCGUCGUGCACUCGUCAUCUAGAUCUUAUAUAGAUGUAGAAAAUAUGAAGGCUACAACUUAGACCCAAAUCGCUUAGCAGUUGUAAAAGGGUUGAGCGGUUUGGAGGCAGAGAAGCAUGUAGGAGAAAGCCCUAAACCGCCCAACGGUUGAAAAGGGGCUAAGCGAUUUAGGGUCCGAAAGGCAAAAUUUUUGGAGCUCCCAGGCGCUCAACCAUUGGACCAAGGGCUCAACCACUACAAUUUGUUUUAUUUUGGCCAACAUUUAAAAAAAAAAGGAAAAAAAAGAAAGGGAGGAAGAAAAAUAGAGCACAAACAGAGCAGAACUUGAAAAAGGACUUGGAACUAGUUGGGAAGAGGGGUUAUUUAGCUUUUCCUUUAUUCUUUUUCUCAUCUUCCAUGUACCUUGGAUUGAUUCCUAUCACUAGGAGGGGCUAAUAUUUUCUUUUUGUUGAGAUUAAAUGUAGCCAUCAAACUCUCAUGUAUUCUUUUUAAUUUUCAUAUAUAUGAUGUUCUAUUAUUCAGUA